rfam:Takifugu rubripes chromosome, Chr_15
CCAAAGGCUCUUUUAAGAGCCACCACAACUUUCACUAAAGACUUUU